rnacentral:rRNA from 1 species
UACGUAGGGGGCGAGCGUUGUUCGGAAUUAUUGGGCGUAAAGAGCGUGUAGGCGGCUGGAUAAGUCAGAUGUGAAAGCCCUGGGCUUAACCCAGGAAGUGCAUUUGAAACUGUCCGGCUUGAGUAGGGGAGAGGGAAGUGGAAUUCCUGGUGUAGAGGUGAAAUUCGUAGAUAUCAGGAGGAACACCGGCGGCGAAGGCGACUUCCUGGCCCUAUACUGACGCUGAGACGCGAGAGCGUGGGUAGCAAACAGG